UGGGGAAUAUUGCGCAAUGGGGGGAACCCUGACGCAGCGACGCCGCGUGCGGGAUGACGGCCUUCGGGUUGUAAACCGCUUUUGAUUGGGAGCAAGCGCAAGUGAGUGUACCUUUCGAAUAAGGACCGGCUAACUACGUGCCAGCAGCCGCGGUAAUACGUAGGGUCCAAGCGUUGUCCGGAAUUAUUGGGCGUAAAGAGCUCGUAGGCGACGCGUCGCGUCUGGUGUGAAAGUCCAUCGCUUAACGGUGGAUCUGCGCUGGAUACGGGCGUGCUGGAGUGCGGUAGGGGAGACUGGAAUUCCCGGUGUAACGGUGGAAUGUGUAGAUAUCGGGAAGAACACCAAUGGCGAAGGCAGGUCUCUGGGCCGUUACUGACGCUGAGGAGCGAAAGCGUGGGGAGCGAACAGGAUUAGAU
rnacentral:rRNA from 1 species